rnacentral:lncRNA from 1 species
UAAACAAGUUAAGUCACUAAAGAUUUCCUGAUCCUGAUGCUGGCCAGACUAUGUGGAAAUGUGGUUCCUGAACAUGUUUCUGGAGGUGCUGGAUAUGAUUACAAACCUCAGGAAGCAGGUUGGUGGUGGAACGAUCAAUUGACAAGUAUGACCAUCCCAUUUAAGAGACCCACUUGUUGUAACCAUGAGAAAUAAUGAUGAAGAUACAAGGAAAAUAAGAUUUGGACUUUACAAUGAAAGAUCCUCAUUGCAGAAUUAGGGAGCUGUCACCACAGAUCGUGUGUAUGAGAACUCAGUUCUUAUAAUGGGAACCUGGGCCAAUUAACAUUCACCCUCAACAUGGCGCUUCAUCUGAUGAAAGCCAUUUCACGCCCAGGAGAAGAGUAAAAGAAACACAAGAACAGCUGCAGCAGUCAGAGCUCACCUUCGGACACCAGAGACUUUAGCCGAUCCAGAAGCUGGUGUCACUCCCAUGAGUCACAACAACAAGCACUCUACCAAAACAAAUGCCAAGAAGGACCAGGAAAAUGCUGGGGCCAUUUCAGUUGUAAGUCUGUCGGGACACCCUCAUUUGCGAUACAGCAUGCUCUCCAGCCUUUUCCCUGUUUUGUGUGUUGUGUGUGUGUGAUAUGUCUGCCUGUUUCUAUUUGCCAAAUGCACAUCCUUAACCCAAGAGUCUACAGGCUUCUCUCUUUUCAGCCUGUCACCUUUUUUCUGGUAAAUUUAGUGGCCAAAGGAACUUAGAGAUUGAGGAU